CUCUUCUGCCAGGCCUCCACGAGGACCUUCCACACAGACAUAUAACCCUGAAUAUCAAGGCAGAAAAUCCCGCAAUAUCUGCUUUGAACUGGAUUAGCUGAGUCCACACCCCAUAUAUUCCAGUUCAAAGUAUAUAAUGUGGGAUUUUAUUCAGCUGUGUGAAAGGGGCCCAAGAGUGGUGGCUUGGGUGUUGUACUGUGACAACUGAGGAUAGGGUUUGAUUCCCCACAGAACCAUGAACAACCUAGUCUGGGUGCUCUCUGGACCAUCCUCCAAAAAAUCGGGUGCCCUGACAAAUUUGUGAACAUCCUGCGACUCCUCCACAAUGACAUGAUGGCAACAGUCUUGGAUAGCAAUGGCUUGCAGCUGAAAGCCAAAACCAAAGUCACAACAACACCUGUUAUAGAACUCCAAUAUGCCGAUGAUAUCGUAGUCAGUGCUCAUUCAGAAGAAGACCUACAAACCAGUCUAAACGCCUUUGCAGAAGCAUACCAGAAGCUCGGCCUCUCAUUGAACAUUGAGAAAACCAAAGUGCUCUUCCAGCAGUCUCCAGCUAAUACCUCUACAAUACGAGAAAUGCAGCUUAAUGGUGUAACAUUAGAAAAUGUUGACCAUUUCUGCUAACUUGGCAGCCACCUCUCCACAAAAGUCAAGAUUGAUACUGAAGUACACGACCUCUUGAGCUCUGCAAGUGCAGACUUCUUCCAAAUGAAGCAGAGAGUGUUUGAGGAUCAGGACAUUGUAGGGAUAGCAAGGUGCUUGUUUAUAAAGCUAUUGCCCUCCCAACCUUGUUAGGUAAGUUAAAGGUAAAGGUUUCUCCUGAUGUUAAGUCCAAUCAUGUCCGACUUUGGGGGUUGGUGCUCAUCUCAAUUUCUAAGCCGAAGAGCUGGCGCUGUCCGUAGACACCUCCAAGGUCAUGUGGCUGGCAUGACUGCAUGGAGUGCCGUUACCUUCCCACCGGAGCAGUACCUAUUGAUCUACUCACAUUUGCAUGUUUUUGAACUGCUAGGUUGGCAGAAGCUGGGCCUAACUGUGGGCGCUCAUUCCGCUCCCCAACCCUGUUAUACAUCUGCAAAAUGUAGACUGUCUACAGACGUCACACUCAACUCCUGGAAUGAUUCCAUCAGCACUGCCUCCAAAAAAUCCUACAGAUCUCUUGGGAAGACAGGCGGACAAAUGUCAAUGUGCUGGAAGAAGCAAAGACCACCAGCACUGAAGCAAUGUUCUUACAUCAUCAAUUCUGCUGAACUGGCCACGUUGUCCCAAUGUCUGAUCACCGUCUCCCAAAACAGUUACUAUACUCCCAACUCAAGAAUGGAAAAUGGAAUGUUGGUGGACAGGAAAAGAUUUAAAGAUGAGUUUAAAGCUAACCUUAAAAACUGUGGCAUAGCUAUUGAGAACUGGGAAGCCCUGGCCCUUGAGUGCUCUAGCUGGAGGUUAGCUGUGACCAGCUGUGCUGUGGAAUUUGAAGAGGCACAAAUGGAUGGUGAAAGGGAGAAACGUGCCAAGGGGAAGGCUCAUCAAGCCAACCCUGACCAGGACUGGCUUCCACCUAGAAACCAAUGCCCUCACUGUGGAAGAACAUGUAGGUCAAGAAUAGAACUACAGUAGAGUCUCACUUAUCCAACAUAAACGAGCCAGCAGAACGUUGGAUAAGUGAAUAUGUUGGAUAAUAAGGAGGGAUUAAGGAAAAGCCUAUUAAACAUCAAAUUAGGUUAUGCUUUUACAAAUUAAGCACCAAAACAUCAUGUUAUACCACAAAUUUGACAGAAAAAGUAGUUCAAUACACAGUAAUGCUAUGUAGAAAUUACUGUAUUUACCAACUUGGCACCAAAAUAUCACGAUAUAUUGAAAACAUUGACUACAAAAAAGCGUUGGAUAAUCCAGAAUGUUGGAUAAGCGAGUGUUGGAUAAGUGAGACUCUACUGUACAUAGUCACUUACGUAUCCACCACCAGAACACUACUCCUGGGGGGCCUUCAUACUCGGACAGCGAGGGAUCGCCUGAGUAAUUAAUUCUAGGUGACCUCAGAAGUCAGUCUUUCAGCCUCAGAGGAAGCAAACAGAGGAAUUGAUCAGCAACUGAACACCAGGUUUUGUGGGUGAUUGACCUUGGCAUCAGAGAGUUACAGUUUACUUGUAUUCAGAGAACACUGGACUCAGCAAGUGAUGGAUCUGGACCAAACUUGGCACACAGACCUAACAUGGCCAACUGUAAAUAUUGGCAGGCUUUGCGGGUGAUUGAUCUAGGCAUCGGAGAGUUAUAGUUCACCCAUAUUCACAGAACACUGAACCCAGCUGACUAUAGAUCUGGACAAACUUGCUACACAGACUCAACAUGACGAACUGUGAGUGUUAACUGGUGAUGACCUUACAGUAUAAUUACCACUACUUCAAGCCAACAUUGAGCUCUUUUAGAGUACUGAAAACAACAGAAUUCAACAUGCCUUGUUCUUCGCAUUUGAUGCAGACUUUUGUCAAAGUGGUUAUAUGAAUUCACAUCAGCCACGAUUUUGAAGAGAUUCUGUGUGUAUAUGCUGUCUUGAAUAUCACUGCUUCUGGAUACAUAAGUCAAUUAUUAAAUUGUUAUGAUUCCUUUUCCAGCUUGACAUUUGUACAAAGACUGAAAAUGACAAACUCAACAUUCCAACUUUGAUAUCUACUGUCAGCUCUUCAUAGCCAUGAUUCUAUAUGCAUGGAUCCAGCCAAACAUGGCUUGAUAAUCUACCCCCAUCCACCCAAAACAUUCCCAAAAGCAAACCUUGAUUUUGCCAUUUUAUAUAAAUGGCACUAUUUUACUAUACUGUUGAAUAUAAUGAGACUUGAGAAUUCAUGGCUUAGUAUCUUCUGCCGUUUGGUUCCAGGAACCCUAAUAGAUUUUAGUAUGGAACCAAAUCACAGCAGAUACCAAGGACCCACUACAUUUUACUUUUAAAUAAAGUUAUUGCCAAAUUGUUAACAUAUCUAUGGAGUUUUGCUAUUUAAAUGGUUGCAUUUAUUAUUUUAUUUUGAUUGAUGUUAUCAUUGUUUUUGUUUUGAUAUUCGUUGUAAUUGUUUUAUUCUGCUUUUGUUUUGGGCAUUGCCCUAUGUUAGCCGCCCCAAGUCCCUUCGGGGAGAUGGUGGCGGGAUAGAAAAAUAAAUUAUUAUUAUUAUUAUUAUUAUUAUUAUUAUUAUUAUUCAACAAUGUGAUAAAUCUUUCACUUAUGAAUACAAGGGCUUGCUUCAUUACAAUAUACUUACAUGCUAUUUAUUUUUUAAAUAACACUACUUUAAAAACAUGUCCUUUUAUUUAUUUUUCAUCAUUCAGUGUUUACUCUGCAUUUUUUUUUACGGCACCAUCUGUCUUUGUCUGCUGGCAUCACAUCCAGCAGUUCCUGGCACAGGAAAUGUCAGACUUUAAAAAUAAUGUAUGUACCCUGCAUUUUACAUUGAGUUCUUGGGUCUCAUCUCAGAAAAGUGUUCCUAUUUUAAAAAACAGUAGGUCCUGUCUUACUUUUUUCUUCCAGUGAGUAAGAUAGGACCUACUGUUUUGUAAAAUGUUUUGUGAGAGUUGAUUGAAUUUUGCCAAAUUCAAUUAACAAAUAAUAUUUUUGCUGUGAAUUUGGAUGAGAUACACCCUCUCAACACACAGUUCUUAGUGCAAUUGUGCAAAUAAAACAGCAAUAGACAAAAUAUACUUGCAGAAGACGAGGCAGUCAGUGAACAUGUGACUAAUCAGCAAUACAGUUUAUAUGGCUGACUAGCUGAUUACUUCCCAUCCAUCUGCGGUCAGUUCUGUUUGCAUAUUUCCCCCAGGUUGAGAAACACUGUUUGAAAUGUAUGCUUAUCUGUGACCCUUUCUACACUACCCUAUAAUCUUCUCAUCCCAGAUUAUAUGGUAGUGGAGACUCAUAUAAUCCAGUUCAAAGCAGAUAACCUGGGAUCAGAUCCUGGGAUAUAAGGAUAGUGUAGAAGGGCCUGUGUUGUAGUUUUUAAUUAAGAUACUACUUAGACAACAUCUAUCAUCACAUAAAAGAAAGAUGAGAACUAUUAACUUGCAUGUGGACCCCAAAGCCUUUUUUUUCAGCCUCAAGGCUUUUUCUCUUCCCAAAUUGGUUGUGACAUUUCCAGGAAUAGCAAAUCAUAUCCAAUUGGCAGAAAUGGCAGAUCACAGCAAACCAAGAAAAUGCAACAAAAAUAACUUUUGGUUGCAUUUUUACUAUUUUUGGGGUCCAAUGCAAAAACUGGCACUUGUGGUUUGCAUACUUGGCCACUCUGAUAUAAAAUAUGAGGAAGAUGCAGUCUAUAUUAUGACAUUUAUAUCUAUUCUUCUUUCAAUGAAAUGAUUAAAAUAUCCAUGCAAUUUUCUUAUUUGAAUGGAUUUAUUUUUACAGUAAUAUGAUGGAGCCCCUGAUGGCGCAAUGGGUUCAACCUCUGAUCUGCUGUACUUGCUGACCAAAAGGUUAGCGAUUCGAAUCUGGGGAGCGGGGUGAGCUCUUGCUGUUAGCCCCAGCUUCUGCCAACCUAGCAGUUCGAAAACAUGCAAAUGUGAGUAGAUCAAUCAGUACCACUCCAGCAGGAAGGUAAUGGCGCUCCAUGCAGUCAUGCCAGCUACAUGACCUUGGAGGUGUCUAUAGACAACAGCAGCUCUUCAGCGUAGAAAAGGAGAUGAGCACCAACCCCCUGGGUCGCACACGACUAGACUUAAUGUCAGGAGAAAACCUUUACCUUUACUAUGAUGAUAAAUCAUUUACAUAUGAAUUCAAGACUGCUUCAUCUAUAUGCUAUUUCUUUUUAAAAAUAAGACUAACACACUUUUUAUUUAUUAUUUAUUAUCAAAAAUUAUUCAGAAUAAAAAUAAGGAGUUUUAGUUUGAAAUAUUUAUCUUGAUUUUAUCAACUUUGUCUGCUGAUAUCAUAGCCAACAAUCCCUGGCACAGGAAAUGUUAGGCUUUUAAAAUAAUGUAUGUAUUGCACAUGGUGUUCUUCUGUUUCAUCUCAGCAAUGAGUGGUCUUUUAAGUUCCAUCUUACAAAAUUAGUACUGGAAUGCUGAGCUAAUCCCAUAAACAAGCUGAUACAUAAUUGGUACCAAAAAUAGAAUGGACAGAAAAUGUACAACUCCUACUCUAACAUAUUUUUCCAUCUUAUAUGCAAAAUCAUGAAACAGAGAUGACUAAAUUAUUAUUCCUGUUUUGGCAGUAAACUUCUGUUUAAAACAGUGAUAUAUUGGGAGAGAUGUAUAUUAAUUUUUUUUCUUAAGUCUUGUUUGCAAUCAGACAGUUUAAUCUGCCAUUAGUGAUUCAUUUCAAAUCAGCUUCUCAUUGAACAUUCUUCUCAGCCUCAAGUCAGACAACACCGAACCUCUGCAGGUGUUAAGACAUGUUUGGCAUUCAGAGUGUCAGUGGAAGCUUUUCUAAAUGUCUAAUUAAAAUAGCUUCUUACUAGAGAAAACUCCUGUGCUCGGAGCCACCUUUAUAACAAGACUAUGCCUGGUUUUAGAAACAGGGAUGAGCAGUGGAGGGACUGUUAUGAGUUUUUUGGGGGGCAGAGUGCGGCGUAUGAAUUCAGAAGGAACUGUACUGUUGUUGUUAUGUGCCUUCAAAUCAACUGUGAUUUAUGGCAGCUCUGUCACAGAACUUUCUUGCCAAGAUUUAUUUGGAGAAGGGUUGCCAUUACCUUCUUCACAGAUAGAAUGUAAUUUGCUCCAGGUCAGUCAGUGGGCAUUAGAACCUUGGUCUUCCAUCAUCCUAGUGCAACACUCAAACUACUAAAUUAUGUAAAGAAAUUCUCUAUAUAUUCUUAACUCAGAACUUCUGGUGGUGCAGUGGUUUAAACUGCUGGGCUGCUGAACUUGCUGACCAAAAAGUCGGCAGUUCGAAUAUGAGGAGCAAGGUGAGCUCCUGCUGUUAGCCCCAGCUUCUGCCAACCUAACGGUUCAAAAACAUGCAAAUGUAAGAAGAUCAAUAGGUACUGCUCUGGCAGGAAGGUAAAAGUGCUCCAUGCAGUCAUGCUGGCCACAUGACCUUGAAGGCGUCUACGGAAAACACCGGCUCUUCAGCUUAGAAAUGGAGAUGAGCACCAACCCCCAGAGUCAGAAACAACUAGACUUAAUGUCAGGGGAAAACCUUUACCUUUACCUAAGCACUUCUAAGAAAUAUUGCCACUAUUUUAACUGCAUGGUGCUUCUGGUUUUUGCUGUAUAAUCACCCCAGAUUAUUCAUGGAAUUUUACAAGGUGUUUAUUUCUCUGCUUUUAUGUAGUCAGGAAAAAAUAUCAAGAUAGAGAUAGAAUAACUCCAGAACAUCUUUUGAUGUUGCCCAGCACCUGGAAUCACCCAUUCGAUCCUUCUUUUUAAAAUAUCCAUACAAGAAGCAGCUCUGGAACACCUGUAUUGCUAUUCUACAACCACACAUUCUAUGUGCAAGCUCAAAGAAAUGCCAGGAGUCAUAUAAAUGCAACAGAUCUUAGUGGAGGAAACCUAAGGUGCAAGGGGAAAACCCUAAAGACAACCAUAUGUAUGUCGAGAGGGAAGGUAUUAGUGUCUAGAGUCUAGACAGAAGAUGGUUUAUCUAGUUAAGAGAAGUACUUAUCUUUAUAAGUGUCAAGAACAUUUUCAAAGUGGUUUUUAAAAUUCAUACCCAGCCCCAUUCAUGUACUUAGCAUUCUGUUGUACCGAUUAUGUUGUUGCAAAAUCAAAUACGAUGUGCAAUUUUUUCAGUCUCAGUACCGCAUAUGAAUAUGGUAGAAUUGGCAGACCUGAACCUCAGGAUAAAAAUAAGUAUUGUACUUUUUCAUUUCGUAAGUGCAUUGGUCUAUUUCUUAAUACCUUCAAAGUCAAAGGGUAAAAUAAAAAUAGCUCAUGGAACAUCAUGAAUUAUGUAAGAAAACAUCCCGUUCUUUGUUACUCUGCAAAGUGUUCUCAAACUGUGUUUUAAAGCUUUGAAUAUGAUAGAAAAAGGAAACUGAGACAUGUGAUCCAUGCUCUAACACACUUCCUCACAAUUGUGAUACUUACACUUGCAACAUUAUCUGCAUACCUGGAAGUACACAAUUUACAUGGUAGUAAGGGUGUAAUACCUUGUUUCCAAAUAUGUUCAUUUUUUUGUAGCCUGGAGCAGAGCUUCACAUCUUGUGAAGCAUCCAUUCAUGUAUUCUGUCUGCGUCCAGUUUGUUUGGUUGUCUUAAGAUACCUGCUUGGACACACAUAACAACCACGCCUUUCAAUUGGGUAAUGAGGCUGUUAAGUUUGUGCACUUUGAGCUCAGUGGCUUUCUACACACGAGAUAAACUGGGAUUAUGGGGAAUUUUAUUUUCCAGAGUCUUAGGCCAAAUGCAACACAAAAUUUAGCUCCCCCCCCCCCUUUUUUAAACUUUCUUGUGUCUGGAGAGCCUUCAAUCUAUUCUGGUGGACGUGCAACAAUGCUUAAUACAGUAGAAUCUUGCUUAUCCAACAUAAACGGGCCGGCAGAACGUUGGAUAAGCAAAAAUGUUGGAUAGUAAGGAGGGAUUAAAGAGGAAUUAUUAAACAUCAAAUUAUGUUAUGAUUUUACAAAUUAAGUGCCAAAACAUCAUGUUUUACAAGUUGACAGAAAAAGUUGUUUAAUACACGGUAACGUUGUGUAGUAAUUACUGUAUUUAUGAAUUUAGCACCAAAACAUUGCAAUGUAUUGAAAACAUUGACUAAAAAAACACUGACUUACUAAAAGGCAGACUGCGUUGGAUAAUACGGAACGUUGGAUAAGCGAAGGUUGGAUAAGUAAGACUCUACUGUAAUAAUAAACUUUAUUUAUAUCUCGCCCCCUCUCCCCAAAGGGACUUGGGGCAGCUCACACCACUGAACAGUCAAGAAUGCUUCAUAUAAGGCAGCAGUAAAACAAUGAGGCAAACUGGGGUUUUUAUGGCGUUAAAGACAUGAUCAUUGUGUAUUCCAACAGUAUUGGAACUGAGGUAGGUAAAGGUAAAGGUUUUCCCCUGACAUUAAGUCUAGUCGCGUCCAACUAUAGAGAUUGGUGCUCAUCUCUUUCUAAGCCGAAGAGUCAGCGUUGUCCGUAGACACCUCCAAGGUCAUGUGGCGGGUAUGACUGCAUGGCAUGCCGUUACCUUUGGGUCAGAGUGGUACCUAUUGAUCUACUCACAUUUACAUGUUUUCGAACUGCUAGGUUGGCAGAAGCUGAGGCUAAUAGUGGGAGCCCAUCCUGCUCCCCGGAUUCGAAUUGCCAGCCUUUCGUCAGCAAGUUCAGCAACUCAGCGAUUUAACCUGCUGCACCAUCGGGGGCUCUGUAACUGAGGUAAGGAUGUAUUAUUCAGUCUGUAUAGAUUGAGCCUCCAUUGUCACCACAGGCAAUAUAUCAGUUAUGCUAUACAGAUAUGUCAGAUUUCUUUUCUCCACAGAGAUGAGUUAUGAUAGAUUACAAGUAUUAUGUCAAGCAAACUAUCUUAUGAAAAUAGAUUUGAGAGUGUAAUGUUGUAGCUAACAAGUUGCAUUUUGAUAUAUGCAAAGAUAUUUUCACUGGUGAAUUCUAUUUCAAGGCACACUGCAGGCCGGUCAUUUUAACUUGUUUUUUUUUUUCUGAUUUAGCACUCUAGAUAUUAUGACAUACUGGAUUAUUAAAACUAUGACUAGAAAGAAAAUGGUGAAUUGGUGAAGAAAAGGGGGAAACAGAGGAUAUGAUAAUAGGCAAUGCAUUUAUAUUAAUAUCAGAAAAUGUUUCAAAACAACAAAAGCAGCAUCAUUAUUCUUGAAGCUGACAUCUACAAAAUGCAGAUAUUACAUGUUGUGAAUAAGUAUUUGUCAAGUUUUAACCAUGUAAAAAGAUGCACUUGUAAACAGACUGAGUGUCCGUCGUCUGAAAUGUUGAAAUCUUUCAUAUUCAAAACUCUUCUACAUAGGAAGCUGAGAAAGUGAUACCUUUGCUUUCUGAUGGUUACAUGUACAAAAAGUUGGGUUUCAAUUAUAAGAUGUUUAAAAUAUUGUAUAAAAUCACCUUCAGGCUAUGUGUGAAAGGUUUCUUUAAAAUAUCAAUAAAUGUUGUGCUUCAUCUCCAAGAUAGCUCAUAAGGUACAUGUGUUGCAAAUACAGGUAUUCCAAAAUCCUAAAAAAUAAUCCCAAAUCCAAAGAGUUUUGGUUAGAGUAUAUUCAACCUGUAUUGUCUAUGACUCAUAUGGAGAUACCCUGGUGAGCACCUCCGAUUCUGGAAUAUAUUUCUCUGUAUGUUUAUUGUACAUAAGUGGUAUGUGCUACAUCCAGUUCAUUUGACAACAAUCAACAUGAAUGGUCCCUUUUUGCCAAACAAGAGAACUAUGCAUCAGCCGAGUCCUUCGGCAAGGAAUCCAUAUUCAAAUCAGAUUGAUAAGGGGCUAAUCAGGAAUUACCUGGUGAACCUAAAUGAAUUCAAAUCUAAGGACCAGUAUUGAAGGAACUUGCUGAUGUACUGGUAGAGCCACUUGCCAUCAGUUCUGAGAAAUAUUCGAAAGCAAGUGAGGUGCCAGAGGAUUAGAGAGAUGGCAAAAAGAAAGAUCCAGGAAACUGGAUGGGGGGGGGGGGGUAUUGUAAUUAGUUAUAUAGCAGUUUGUCUGCAGAUAUCUUGAUGACAAUGCAGUAAUCAGUAGGAGUUAGAAUGAGUUUUCAAGAAUAAAUCCUGCCAAACUAAUCUUCUAUCUUUUUUUGGGUUGGAUCCCUACGUAGUUUAGGAGAUGGUGGAAAUGAUGGAAUGUCACUUACCUGGAUUUCAGGGAACCAUUUGAUAAGGACCCUCAUCAUAUUUUGAUCCACAAAAUGAUUAAGUAUGAGCAGAAACAAUGUUGAAUGUUCUCAUAGUUGGUUGGAAAAUCCUGCUCACAAGAGUCAACUUCAGAUGGCUGCUCUUCAGAUUGGAAGGUCUUAGGUGUACUGCUUCAGGGUUCUGUCCUAGAACAUCAGUCUUCCACAUUAUCAAUGACGUAAAAUGAUACAAACCAGCAAGGGGAGGCUAACACAUUGGGAGAUAAAAACAGAAUUACUAAGGAUCUUGAUGGACUAAAAAAAGGGCAAAAAAUAAUAAUUUCAAGUUCAACAUGAUCUGGCUGUAUGAUACUGAAGCAAAGAAGAUGAAUACUAUAUUGGUCUGCCUCAAGAGUUGGAAGCAAUUGAACAAAUAAACAACAAGAAUCCAUUCUCUCUUUCAAGGGGUCAAUUAGCCCCCUGCUGCCCAGCCAUGCCCUUGGGCCCCCUUUCAGAUUCUUUACUGCCCUUCACCAGGUAGUUAUCUAAGAUGUGUUCUGCAUUUUGCAUAGCUGAUUUCACCCUGGAUCUGGGGUGCUGCUUCCCAUUUAAUCUGUGCUGCAGCAUACAUUGGCUGUGUGAGUUUUAUGGCCACUGCGUUCUUGAGUCAACUUGGAGGUGCUUUAUACAGUCAGUGUACAUGGGCCUUAAAAGAGUCAAAUCAUACAUGUUAAAACAGUAAUAGAAUAGAAUAGCAAACCUGCCAAUAGAAACCAAUUAAAUUUAGCACUGGGUUGAUGUGAGUUUUCUGGGCUGUAUGGCUAUGUUCCAGAAGCAUUCUUUCCUAUGGCAGGCAUCCUCAGAGGUUGUGAAGUCUCUUGAAAACUAGACAAGAGGGGUGUAUAUAUCUGUGCAAAGUCCAGGGUGGGAGAAAGAUCUAUUGUCUGUUUGAGACAAGUGUUAAUGUAGCAAUUGAUCACCUUGAUUAGCAUUGAAUGGCCUUGCAGUUUCAAGGAUUGGCUGCUUCCUGCCUGGGGGAAUUCUUUUUUUGGAGGUGUUAGCUGACCCUGAUUGUUUUUGUCUGGAAUUCUCUUGUCUUCUGAGUGUUGUUCUUUAUUUACUGUCCAGAUUUUAGAGUUUUUUAAAAAAUACUGGUAGCCAGAUUUUGUUCAUUUUCAUGAUUUCCUUCUUCCUGUUGAAAUUGUCCACAUGCUUAUGGAUUUCAAUGACUUCUCUUUGUAGACUGACAUGGCAGUCAUUAGAAUGAUCCAGCAUUUCUGUGUUCUCAGAUAAUAUGCUGUGUCCAGGUUGGUUCAUCAAGUGCUUUGCUAUGGCUGACUUCUCUGGUUGAAUUAGUUUGCAGUGCCUUUCGUGUUCCUUGAUUUGUGUUUGGGCAUUGCUGCAUUUGGUGGUUCCUAUGUAGACUUGUCCACAGCUGCAUGGUAUAUGGCAGACUCCUGCAGAGGUGAGAGGAUCUCUCUUGUCCUUUGCUGAACGUAGCAUUUGUUGGAUUUUCUUAGUGGGUCUGUAGGUAGUUUGCAGGUUGUGUUUUUUCAUCAGCUUCUCUAUGUGGUCCGUGGUUCCCUUGAUGUAUGGUAAGAACCCUUUCCGCUAGGUGGAUCUUUGUCUUUACUCUCGUGGCUUGUUCUUCUGAUGUCUGUGGUGGAGUAUCCAUUGGCCUGUAGAGCCUAGUUUAGGUGGUUCCGUUCACCUUGGAGGAGGUGGGGUUUUCAGAUUCUUUUUGGACUGCCAGGGCUUUGUGUUACUUUUAACUUGGAUAAUGUUUGGAGUUUUUAUGUAGGUUUCUAUUCAUGUGUGUAGGUUUUCUGUAAACUGUGUGGCCCAAUUACUGAUUGGAUAAAUCCCUCUUGUCUAGUUUUCAACAGACCUCACAACCUCUGAGGAUGCCUGCCAUAGAUGCAGGCAAAACAUCAGGGAAGAAUGCUUCUGGAACAUGGCUAUACAGCCUGGAAAAUUCACAACAACUCAGUGAUUCCAGCUAUGAAAGCCUUCGACAACACAUUAAAUUUAGUGCAUUAAGCAAAACAUUUCUGAAUUCAAGAAAUCAGGAGAACACUAACUUUGAAGGGCACCUUUCAAAAAACUAGAUGGGACUCGAGUACAUGCUUUCACAUUUCCAAUUUCUAUGUAUUAUUGUGAAAGCUAUCACUUAUUCUUCAGAUUUGGGUUAAUGAAGUUUUACAUGUAAUAAUUUAACUGCUAGCAGGUGAUUUUUUUUUUUAAAGAACACCCGCUGACCGUGUAGUAAUAAAUGUUGUGGCUUAAAAAAUUGGGCACAUAGAGACCACUUAAAGUACUUGUGUUUGAUCUAUAUAUUUGACUUUUAGCUGAAAAAAUACAAUAUUUUCAUUCUUAGUUUCACCAUGGGAGAAUAUAAAAAUUGGCAAAAAGUACGCUGUUAUUUGAUAUACGGUAUAUAUUCAGCCAGGAAAAUGGCAGAUCUGGUUUUAAACUAGCUGUUGCAAGGAAGGAGUAGAAAAUAAGGGGUUUAAAUGUUGUGUUCUAUAGUACUCCUAAUAUAUUGCACAUUUAUAAUUUUAUUCCUCUCCUCCAAGAUUGAAGAUUGAAGUGCCAUUAUGUUGCCCGUGGCCACUGGCUACACUUUUAUUUUGUGAUGUUCUGUUUUAUAGUUUUGAUGUAUUAAUUUUCUGUGAUUGGUAUGUAUUUUAUAUUGUUGUACUUUAUUGUAUAUUGUUGGGCUUGGUCCCCAUGUGAGCCACCCCGAGUCCCAUCAGGGAGAUGGGGCAGGAUAAAAGAAUAAAGUUGUUGUUAUUAUUAAA